UUGGAGGGCAAGUCUGGUGCCAGCAGCCGCGGUAAUUCCAGCUCCAAUAGCGUAUAUUAAAGUUGUUGUGGUUAAAAAGCUCGUAGUUGAACCUUGGGCCUGGCUGGCCGGUCCGCCUCACCGCGUGUACUGGUCCGGCCGGGCCUUUCCCUCUGUGGAACCCCAUGCCCUUCACUGGGUGUGGCGGGGAAACAGGACUUUUACUUUGAAAAAAUUAGAGUGCUCCAGGCAGGCCUAUGCUCGAAUACAUUAGCAUGGAAUAAUAGAAUAGGACGUGUGGUUCUAUUUUGUUGGUUUCUAGGACCGCCGUAAUGAUUAAUAGGGACAGUCGGGGGCAUCAGUAUUCAAUUGUCAGAGGUGAAAUUCUCGGAUUUAUUGAAGACUAACUACUGCGAAAGCAUUUGCCAAGGAUGUUUACAUUAAUCAGGAACGAAAGUUAGGGGAUCGAAGACGAUCAGAUACCGUCGUAGUCUUAACCAUAAACUAUGCCGACUAGGGAUCGGACGAUGUUAUUUUUUGACUCGUUCGGCACCUUACGGGAAAC
rnacentral:rRNA from 1 species